rnacentral:rRNA from 1 species
AGGCCUCUGAUACAAGCUUUCGCCUUAAGAUGAGCCCAUGGCCCAUCAGCUAGUUGGUAGGGUAAAGGCCUACCAAGGCUACGACGGGUCGCUGGUCUGAGAGGACGACCAGCCACACUGGCACUGAGAUACGGGCCAGACUCUACGGGAGGCAGCAGUGAGGAAUAUUGCGCAAUGGGGGAAACCCUGACGCAGCAACGCCGCGUGUGGGAAGAAGGCCUUCGGGUCGUAAACCACUUUUGCACGGGACGAAAAAAGGGAUAUCGAACAAAUAUCCCCGAUGACGGUACCGUGAGAAUAAGCCACGGCUAACUCUGUGCCAGCAGCCGCGGUAAGACAGAGGUGGCAAGCGUUGUUCGGAAUUACUGGGCGUAAAGAGUCUGUAGGUGGUUUGUCAAGUCUUUGGUGAAAGGCCGUAGCUUAACUAUGGGAAUGCCAAAGAGACUGGCAGGCUGGAGGCUGGGAGAGGGAAGCGGAAUUUCUGGUGUAGCGGUGAAAUGCGUAGAUAUCAGAAGGAAGG